rnacentral:tRNA from 1 species
UUAACUGAAACCAAAAAGAGGUAUAUUAUUGUUAAUAAUAAAACUGAAUAUAUUAUUCCUGUUAAG